rnacentral:misc_RNA from 1 species
GCAUAUGAGGAGGUGGAGGAUGAUGAUGAUUUGGGAUUGCUGCUUGUUGGAGUGACUAUUUUCGCAUCCUGGGAAUUCUCCUCUUCUUGAUCGAGCAUGAGAUCGGAGACUCUUAAAGGAGACAAAGAUCUGCUUCCUUUAUGCACAUAAUUCGAAGACUUGGAAGCUGAAGAAGAAGAACCCGGGAUGGUUCUUUCUCUUCCACGUUGCUGUGAUGCAUGCUUUCUUUGUUGCUGUUGUUUUUGUUCCUGAUUUUGUUGCUGUUUAGCUUCACUUCUUCUUGUUUCUUCUAUGGCAGCUUGAAAAGGGUCAAAAUCUUUCUUCUGAUUAGUUCUUGAUCUUGGUGACCUGGGAGAAGAAACUGAAGAAUCAUAACCAGGUGGUGGCUUCAAGGGCCGGAUCUUGCCUCCAUCGAAGAGCUCAUCAGCAGAUAAAGAAGUCCUGUCUAACUGACCACUAAAACUGAACUCAAAAUCACCAUCAUCAUCAAAAUCUUGAUGACUAUAACCAUUCUUGCGGCUGAAAUUACCUUCACUUCCAUUUCUUGAUUUGGGAGUUCCAGGCUUCGCUUCCCAAUCAAAAGGAAUGGAAGAAGAAGAAUUAGUGACAAGAGAAACAUCAUUAAGCUCCCGGUAGAAAGAUGAAACACGAGUGGGGCUAGCAGGGGCACUGAAGAAGAAGUUGCCAAAUCUCUGAGGACUGGAAGGGGCAGUCGUGUAAGGAGAAGAACAAGUACUAUCAAAGUUGAACUCUACCGGCGGCACUGGCGCCACCACUUCCAUUUCCAUUGAAAGGAGGGUGACGAAUUUGUAUGGAUUGUGCAGGCGAGGGAUUGGUUGAAUAGUGGAGUUUAUAGAGAGAGGAGGAGGAGGAAGGAGGGAGGAAGCA